GGCAGACGGGAGAGUAACACGUGGGAACGUACCUUUCAGUUCGGAACAACCAAGGGAAACUUUGGCUAAUACCGAAUACGCCCGUAAGGGGAAAGAUUUAUCGCUGAAAGAUCGGCCCGCGUCUGAUUAGCUAGUUGGUGGGGUAAUGGCCCACCAAGGCGACGAUCAGUAGCUGGUCUGAGAGGAUGAUCAGCCUCACUGGGACUGAGACACGGCCCAGACUCCUACGGGAGGCAGCAGUGGGGAAUAUUGGACAAUGGGCGCAAGCCUGAUCCAGCCAUGCCGCGUGGAUGAUGAAGGCCUUAGGGUUGUAAAGUCCUUUUAACGGGGAAGAUAAUGACGGUACCCGUAGAAUAAGCCCCGGCUAACUUCGUGCCAGCAGCCGCGGUAAUACGAAGGGGGCUAGCGUUGCUCGGAAUCACUGGGCGUAAAGCGCACGUAGGCGGCUUUCUAAGUCAGGGGUGAAAUCCUGGAGCUCAACUCCAGAACUGCCUUUGAUACUGGAAAGCUUGAGUUCGGGAGAGGUGAGUGGAACUGC
rnacentral:rRNA from 1 species